rnacentral:lncRNA from 1 species
ACCACACACAUACACACACACACACACACACACACACACACACACACACCACACAUGCACACCACACACAUACACACACACCACAUGCACACCACACACACAUACCACAUGCACACCACACACAAACAUAUACCACAUGCACACUACAUGCACACCACACACACACACACACACACACACACACACACACACACACACAAGUUUUCACAACACUUCCUCUGCUCCAGUGUGAUGUGAUUUGAAAGGAAAACCAUCAAAGAUGGCUUUUUUUUAAUUCAGUACACUUUGAGUGCUGGUGAAGUGCCAAAAUGUUUAAGUGCCCUGGCUCCUGGGACUCCCCCAUGUCCCCCUUCUUUCUCUGUUCCAAAGAAUAAGAUCUAUUAUUUGUUCUGUCCUUCGCUAUGUCCUCUAGAUUCUUGGAUGAAAUUCACAAGGAGUUUUUAAAGCCUACUUGCCCCUCUGAUGAUGGCUGGUGAUUUAAAUUUGCAUUCUAAUGUGGCUCUUAAGAGAGCAGCCUUAACCUUCCCUGUGCUUUACCGUGAAGAUUUAAAGAAAGGCACAUGGUGACCAAUACUUUGUAUAUAUCACUUGUUCAUGGUGUGCUUUCAGUUUAACAAGUGACCCUUUCUUUGUGUGUGAGGUGUAUGGUAUGUGCAUGUGUGGUGUGGUGUGUAGUAUGUAUCUGUGUGUGGUGUGGUGUAUGUGUGUGUGUGUGAGCGUGGUGUACAUGUGGUGUGUAUGUGGUGUGGUGUGCAUGUGGUAUGUGUGUGUAUGCAUGUGGUAUGUGUGUGUGGGUGGUGUGCAUGUGAUAUGUGUGUAUGCAUGUGGUAUGUGUGUGUGUGUGUGUGGUGUGCAUGUGAUAUGUGUACAUGUGUGUGAUAUGUGGUGCAUGUGUGUGGUGUGUGUUGUAUGUGUUUAUGUGUGUGUGUGUUUGUGUGUAUAUAUAUAUGAUGUGUGUGACUGUCUUUCAUAUGCAAACCAUAGUCCUCAAAGGCCAAUUUUUUGUGUAAUUUCUCUUCCGAGUUCAGUUUACAUAGUAAUGCACAUGAUAAAGACCUAGUGAAUACUUCUCAUUGAUCUUGGUGUCUUUGUCUUUAAACACUCCUUUUGAUGACCGAUAAAUGAUCAGAACCAACGACUGCUCUGACCUCUUGCCUUUACAGUAGGUCCGAAAGAGAUCAUCCUUAAAUAGGUUUGAUCCUGUCACCGUGUACCCAUCAGGACUUCUUGUUGCCUAGAGAUCUUGGUCCCAACCCUCCUUUUUUAUUUUACACAUUCUUCCAGAAUAUUCAGGGCCCUGAUCAUUAUCACUAGCGUAACCUGUAUCCUUACUGACACAGCGGACUCCAGUCAGUGGUUUCUGUCCUUCCUGGACAGGCUCCACGUAUUCUAGCUGCUGACCUUUGCUCAGCCUGUCUGCCCUCCAGGGGCACGGGCCUUCUCUGAUUGGCUUGUCCUCCAUGCCCUCUCCUGUCUUCCCCACAACAGUCUGGGCCAGCCCUGUCCUCCCCAGCUUGUCUCUUACCUUCAUCACUAAGCAGCACCCUUGUCACCCAUCUCCAAGAUCUUCCAGACACUUCUUGGUAAAGCCACCCAGGACCCCUCUUGCCCUUCUCUUCCCUCUCUUACUCUCUUCCUACUAAAGUUUGGGUACUGCAUAGCACAUCCUUCAGUAUACACCUAUAUUUGAGGUCAUUUGAUAAGGGAUUAUUGCCUCCACUUUAAACUUUUGUAAGUAGCCUGUGCUGCUUCAUCCCGGCCUCCUUGUAUCUCCUGUAGGCCACAAGGGAUGCAUACUAAAUAUUGAUGAAUACAUUGUUGAUAGUAAAAAUAGUAAAAAUUCCUGUCCCUACCUCUUACCCCCAUUUACCCUCGGGAAUUGUCCCAGUCUCCCAUUCAAACCCUUCUCUCUCUUUCCUCCAAUCCCUUCACACUUGCUGAUUCUCUAAUAGAUGGAAGUUAGAUCAGAAAAAAUGCUCAAGGUCCUGUGUAGGGAUAACUAUUAACACAGGCUUUUUAAAUUAAAUUUAAUUUAAUUUAUUAUUAUUAUUAUUAUUAUUAUUAUUAUUAUUAUUAUUUUGAGUUAGUAAGUUUUGUAAAAGCCAAAAAUCUUUGUUAAAUUUCAAUGGUUUAGAAUGUACCAUGCUUUCUGUGACACCAGAGGCUGGGUCAGAGACCCAUCAGAAUUCGUAGCUCUUUCAUUGUACUUUAAAGACAGCCACUCAAGUCCCAAUCUGUGUGGGUAUUCAUUAGGGAGACUGGGACAGCAUUGGAACUUCAUGCUGUAGUGCUGGUGAGCUGAUAAGGUAGUGUUCUCGUAGCAACUGGUUUUCUUUUACACAUCUACCUGGAUAAUCAUUUUAAUAACAUCUAACAGAUAAUGAUAGCCAGGAAACGGGGCAGAAUAAUGAUUAACGAAUCCGUGUUUAUCCAGUGUACCCAACCCAGAAACAAACCCUCAUGGAAAAGUUCAGUCCUUGUGUAUUCAGAUCUGCUUUUAAGGUGUAGAACACUACAAGUUCAUUGCUCUAAAUUUGCCUCAGAACAUAGUAACUUUGUCCUUCAGCCAGUUUUUGCCAGCGUUUCACUUUAACUAAUGGGUGGUCUAUUU